AGAGUUUGAUCAUGGCUCAGAACGUACGCUGGCGGCACGCCUAAUACAUGCAAGUCGAACGAAGUAGCAAUACUUAGUGGCAGACGGGUGAGUAACAUGUGGGUAUCUUCCCUUUGGUGAGGAAUAACACGAGGAAACUUGUGCUAAUACCUCAUAAGUCUUUACGGAGAAAGCUUUAUGCGCCAUUGGAUGAGCCCGCACUUGAUUAGUUUGUUGGUGGGGUAAUGGCCUACCAAGACAAUGAUCAAUAGCUGAUUUGAGAGGAUGAUCAGCCACAUUGGGACUGAGACACGGCCCAAACUUCUACGGAAGGCAGCAGUAGGGAAUCUUGCACAAUGGAGGAAACUCUGAUGCAGCGAUGCCGCGUGAGUGAAGAAGGCCCUUGGGUUGUAAAGCUCUUUCGUCGGGGAAGAAAAUGACUGUACCCGAAUAAGAAGGUCCGGCUAACUUCGUGCCAGCAGCCGCGGUAAUACGAAGGGACCUAGCGUAGUUCGGAAUUACUGGGCUUAAAGAGUUCGUAGGUGGUUAAAAAAGUUGGUGGUGAAAUCCCAGAGCUUAACUCUGGAACUGCCAUCAAAACUUUUUAGCUAGAGUAUGAUAGAGGAAAGCAGAAUUUCUAGUGUAGAGGUGAAAUUCGUAGAUAUUAGAAAGAAUACCAAUUGCGAAGGCAGCUUUCUGGAUCAUUACUGACACUGAGGAACGAAAGCAUGGGUAGCGAAGAGGAUUAGAUACCCUCGUAGUCCAUGCCGUAAACGAUGUGUGUUAGACGUUGGGAAUUUAUUUUCAGUGUCGCAGCGAAAGCAAUAAACACACCGCCUGGGGAGUACGACCGCAAGGUUAAAAC
rnacentral:rRNA from 1 species